GGCUCUCACCCGGUGGCGAGAGGAACGAACGCAAGAUGGCGCGCGAGCGUCGCGGUCGGUUGAGUGCCGCUGGGUACCACGGCCCCAGCCCCACGGCGCCUUGCGGGCACAGGAGAGGCCGCGGAGGCCUGAAAGGGGCCGCCCUGGCUCCGGGCCUGUCCCAGGCAGAGCAGAGCCGGGCCAACGGAGGAAGAACGUUCUGAAGGUGGGAGCUGGCCCGGGAGAGUCCGGCUGCGCGAAGGACGUGAGCGCCUUGUCGCACAAGUGUUCAAGUCGGGGCUCCCGAGAGGUUCCUGUACCAGGUGGGAGUUGGAUUGGGACUCCGUGAGCAUGGGUCGUCCCGACCGUCCCUCCCUCUCGGGAGCUCCCAGGGCUUCCGGACCCCUGGCCUGCCUCCCUAGGGCAGAGCCUUGAACUCUCCACUCCCGAAUUAGGUCUCUGGACUGAGAUCUAGAAACCUAGGAUCUGCUUCAGGCUCCAUCAGAGACUCAGUUACUUCUCUGGGCCUCCUUUCCUUAUUUCUAAAACUGGCGAUUAUAAUGCCUGCACUUUCUCCUCUGGGAGUGUUGCAGGCUUCAUAUGAGAUGUCAUUGAUGUGUAGGCUGAACAGUCCUUUAUGGGCAUAAACAGUCGUUCCCAUUUGCUGUAUAUUGGUGCAACUUCUUGGAAGGAAAUUAGGCAAUGUCUUUUAAAAUUAAAAAAAGCACAUAACUUUUGCCUCAGCAAUUCUAGAAAUAUGUCCUACAGAUUUAGUGGCCACGUAUGCACAGAAAGUAUAUAUACAAGGGUACUUACUUGGAAUGGAAAAAAAUACGUAAACAACCCAAAUGUUCAUUGGUAGAUGAACACCGAAGUAAAGGUGGAUUCCAUAAAA